GAUAUUGGUGAAUUUCGCAUGCAAUGAUCCCAGUUUUUGCCAUAAAAGUUACGCGUAACAAUAAUUAGAGACACAAAAUCAGCUGUCGUCACUUAGACUAAAAAUCAUGCAUUCCGACUUGACUGCGGCCAAUUUAGUCACCGCUUUAAACGGCCAUUUUAAGGCCUUUUCCCCCCUCCGAAUGCACUGAAAUUGCAUAUUCAUUGUGGAAAUAGUUUAAAUCUCAUGUGGAGAAAGUUUGAAAAGGAUAGGACAAAGUUGAGUUCCCUUAAAGGUUACAUUACACUAAAUCAUUGUGUAUCCCUCCGUGGUCCAUUCGAAAGUAGUGCUUAUUUCUAAAGAGUUCCUUUUCUCUUCUUGAAUAUAAGCCAUUUAACAAUGUGAGACAUGUCUUUUGUGGUUAUUUGUAAUAUCCUGUAUGUGUCUGGAGUACUUUGAUGCCUUGGAUUGGAAGCUAACUUAAAAGAUGGACUUUUGAGGGUGUGUUUUCUAUUGUGUGGGGCUUUUGUCGAAAUUAGGAUUCCGAAACACGUUUUUCAACGGUGGGUUCAUUCGACAGCGAUUUACUUUCUUAGAAGUUGCGAGACGGUAUGUUUUUGAUUGCAAUUAUUGGAAGAGGACAGAUCCAUCUUUAAAAUGAUACCAGGUUCGGAAAAAUUGAUACGUCGAAAAGGCAAGAAAAAUGCUGUGAAAGUUGUCAGUUUUAUAAUGGGACCCUAUGGGAAUCGGAAUUAGUGUAAUAUAACCUUAAAAAAGCACAUUUACUGCAAUGUCAAGGUCACAUUGAUUCGUCUGCAAUCGAGACAAGUAGAACAUGAAUUUUAAUGAAUGUUUUGAUGAUUUGGGUGCUAAAAUAGAUGAGAGAUGUCAAUAUUUUGGUUCAAAUGGAUGUUUUAGGUGGUUUUGGACUGUUCCGGAUGGGAGGGGGACCUGGUAUGGACAAGUAAGGGUUACAUUUCCAACAAAUCUUGAAUGUAAAUAUUAUUAUGUCCAAAGAUUGAAGUUUCAGGUGGAGAGCAAGAUGAAAAAUAUGCCAAAUCACAUGAAUGCAACCCAUUUAUGCCAUUUUUCUCUUUGUUUGUAGGCCUGACCAUUUGUCCCUUUUGCCGCAGACGGUCAACAAUCCGCUAGCUGUCUUGCUCUGACUGGUGCACUGGACAUGAUUUCAAUGAGAGUCAUCAUACUGAUUGUUUAAUUCAAACAUGAAUUUCAGUUUGUUCGUUAGAGUACUAACUUAGCUGUGUAUUUACAGUGGACGUAGUGGUGCGUCGCAUGCGGUAGACUAGGUAUUUCCAUAUAUACACUAUGUUUACAGAAUUGCGGCCGGUGAAGCAACAUAGCUGAUGAGUAAAUAGCGCUAGUUCUUCAGACAAAUAACUUUAUUUUCAACCUAUAAAGCAUAUUUAGCUGUAGGUGGGGCCAUUUAGCUGUAAGAUCUGGCUUUGGUUCUGUUAAGCCCUUAGAGUAAUGAAUUUCAGAGUGAAGACCAUAGCGCCUUUUCCUAGUCGAGUAUCGGGCAGCUGUAUGUCUUUUCAGAAAUGCACAUGUCUUCUUUAGUAUGUCAUUGUGAUUGCUUUUAAGAUAGGCAAUAAACUCAUAACCUUUAGAAAAAGGAGCAUCUGUAAAUUCAGAUUUCACUAUUUCAGAGUCAGCCAGACCAUGAUUGAGCUUAAGGAUUGUGCUGCGGAUGCGGCCUGUGCAGUUCCGGGAGAAAGUCACUGUCUUGGGCAUUGCGGUCUGGUAUCAGGUCUGGAUGAUCCUUGCCUGACUCCGGGUUUGUGUACACCUCAAUCCGACUCCCUGUCCGGUACCAUGGCCGCAGUGGUGCAGCCCUUGUGGACGAUCCAUCGACAUCCUGAAAGGUCAACACUUCACCAAGCUGGGAAAAUUGAUCCUGAUAGUCAUCCCCAGGUAGUGAAAUGAAUGUACACUGAACUACAGAGGAAUCACACCCAAAUGACUUUUCUGACAUUAGUGUGGCCCCUUGGGCAGGAAUUCCUUAGCAAACAUGCUUUUUUGCAUGGGGACUGUGGCAUUUUUGCAAAACUUAAGCUUUCAACGCUGGAUUUUAAAGAGAACACUUAAUAAAAUGAAGCCAACAGGACUUAUUUUAAUGAGAGAGACUAUCUGGAUGAGCAACAAAUGUCACAUUGUGUCGUAAGCUGUUGAAGGAGCGAUUUGCGCCAUUUCAAGUGUUAAUUUUGGGUAGCAGGCUUGUAUCGGCUUGAAAGCUGCAAAUUAUUCCUCUCAUCAUGAUAGCAUUAAUUAUUUUAAUUGCAAUGUGUAUGUUUAGAUUGUAAGUGAAGCUUUUAAUAAUAAUUUUCUUGAAAAACAUGA